ACUGACAGCCUGCCUCGCAUAAUGUUAAGCAGGCAUCGGACACUUGCUGGAAGGCAGGGAAUUGCAAUGAAAGAGCACGGAGGUGAGAAGCUGUGCUCCUUGGGGUGAAGGCAGCUUCUGUGCUCCUGGGAUCUACUGUUAAGCCAGGGUGACGCCAGCUUGCAUGCUACCGGAGGGGAAGAGAAAAUUUGGACACACAGGGAGAAAACCACAGGGAGGAGAUGGCCAUCUACAAUUCCAGAAAAGCAGCCUCAGAAGAAACCAAUCUGCAAACAUCUUUAUCUGCAACUCCCUGCCUCCCAAAUGAUUACAGGUCAAGAGGAGACAUCUUUAAAAACGUGUCCAGCCAAUCGGUUCUUCAGAUGCGUUCAUGAAGUCACACCUGCUGUGUAUGAACCUGAUUGCAUGUCCUGCUUUCUGCCUAAGAAAAGCACGCCUAAGUACACAUGGGCGUGCAGCUUGUUUGAAGAAUCUGUUGCUAUAGAAAGAUAAAAGGGAAGAAAAAGAUAAAAUAUGUAUAAAAGGAAAAA
rnacentral:lncRNA from 1 species